UGCAUGGGGUGCAAACGUUGCUCGGAAUUAUUGGGCGUAAAGCGCACGUAGGCGGUUUGUUAAGUCGGAUGUGAAAUCCCUCGGCUCAACUGAGGAAGUGCAUCCGAAACUGGCAAGCUUGAGUACGAAAGAGGGUCGCGGAAUUCCCGGUGUAGAGGUGAAAUUCGUAGAUAUCAAGAGGAACACCUGAGGUGAAGACGGGUUGCUGGGCUGACACUGACGCUGACAGCGCGAAAGCUAGGGGAGCAAACGGG
rnacentral:rRNA from 1 species